UACGAAGGGGGCUAGCGUUGCUCGGAAUCACUGGGCGUAAAGCGCACGUAGGCGGAUUGCUAAGUCAGGGGUGAAAUCCUGGAGCUCAACUCCAGAACUGCCUUUGAUACUGGCGACCUUGAGUCCGGGAGAGGUGAGUGGAACUGCGAGUGUAGAGGUGAAAUUCGUAGAUAUUCGGCGGAACACCAGUGGCGAAGGCGACUCACUGGCCCGAUACUGACGCUGAGGCGCGAAAGCGUGGGGAGCAAACAGGG
rnacentral:rRNA from 1 species